rnacentral:rRNA from 1 species
UGGGGAAUCUUGCGCAAUGGGCGAAAGCCUGACGCAGCGACGCCGCGUGGGGGAUGACGGGUUUCGGCUUGUAAACCCCUGUUGCCCGGGACGAACUUCCGCUUUCGAGCGGAUUGACGGUACCGGGUGAGGAAGCACCGGCUAACUCUGUGCCAGCAGCCGCGGUAAUACAGAGGGUGCGAGCGUUGUCCGGAAUCACUGGGCGUAAAGGGCGCGUAGGUGGCGACCCAAGUCAGUGAUGAAAGCUCGAUACUCAACAUCAAAUCAACCACUAAAACUGAAUUACUCGAGCACUGUAGAGGCAGAUGGAAUUCCGGGUGUAGCGGUGGAAUGCGUAGAGAUCCGGAAGAACACCGGUGGCGAAGGCGGUCUGCUGGGCAGUAGCUGACACUGAGGCGCGACAGCGUGGGGAGCAAACAGG